GUGAUCCGGUGAUCCUAUGCUGCCUAGAAAAGCAUCGGCGCGAGGUUCAAACUGCCCGUACCCUAAACCGACACAGGUGGUCAGGUAGAGAAUACUAAGGCGAUCGAGAGAAUCAUGGUUAAGGAACUCGGCAAAAUGCCCCCGUAACUUCGGGAGAAGGGGGGCCCCAACCUUGAGCACCACGUGCUGGUGUGAGGGGAUCGGGGCCGCAGAGACCAGGGGGAAGCGACUGUUUAUCAAAAACACAGGUCCAUGCGAAGUCGUAAGACGAUGUAUAUGGACUGACUCCUGCCCGGUGCUGGAAGGUUAAGGGGACCCGUUAGCUUCGGCGAAGCGGAGAACUUAAGCCCCAGUAAACGGCGGUGGUAACUAUAACCAUCCUAAGGUAGCGAAAUUCCUUGUCGGGUAAGUUCCGACCUGCACGAAUGGAGUAACGACUUCCCCGCUGUCUCAACCAUGAACUCGGCGAAAUUGCAUUACGAGUAAAGAUGCUCGUUACGCGCAGAAGGACGGAAAGACCCCGUGACCUUUACUAUAGUUUGGUAUUGGUGUUCGGUGUGGCUUGUGUAGGAUAGGUGGGAGACUGUGAAGCGGGCACGCCAGUGUUCGUGGAGUCGUCGUUGAAAUACCACUCUGGUCACUCUGGAUAUCUAACUUCGGCCCGUGAUCCGGGUCAGGGACAGUGCCUGAUGGGUAGUUUAACUGGGGCGGUUGC
rnacentral:rRNA from 1 species